AUUGAACGCUGGCGGCAUGCCUUACACAUGCAAGUCGAACGGUAACAGGUCUUCGGAUGCUGACGAGUGGCGAACGGGUGAGUAAUACAUCGGAACGUGCCUAGUAGUGGGGGAUAACUAAUCGAAAGAGUGGCUAAUACCGCAUGAGAUCUACGGAUGAAAGCAGGGGAUCGCAAGACCUUGUGCUACUAGAGCGGCCGGUGGCAGAUUAGGUAGUUGGUGGGAUAAAAGCUUACCAAGCCGACGAUCUGUAGCUGGUCUGAGAGGACGAUCAGCCACACUGGGACUGAGAAACGGCCCAGACUCCUACGGGAGGCAGCAGUGGGGAAUUUUGGACAAUGGGCGCAAGCCUGAUCCAGCAAUGCCGCGUGCAGGAUGAAGGCCUUCGGGUUGUAAACUGCUUUUGUACGGAACGAAAAGCCCCGGGUUAAUACCCUGGGGUCAUGACGGUACCGUAAGAAUAAGCACCGGCUAACUACGUGCCAGCAGCCGCAGUAA
rnacentral:rRNA from 1 species